rnacentral:rRNA from 1 species
AAUGAACGCUCGCGGCAUGCCUUACACAUGCAAGUCGAACGGCAGCAUGACCUAGCUUGCUAGGUUGAUGGCGAGUGGCGAACGGGUGAGUAAUGCAUCGGAACGUGCCUUUUAGUGGGGGAUAACGUAGCGAAAGUUACGCUAAUACCGCAUAUUCUCUGAGGAGGAAAGCAGGGGACCUUCGGGCCUUGCGCUAGAAGAGCGGCCGAUGUCGGAUUAGCUAGUUGGUGAGGUAAAGGCUCACCAAGGCAACGAUCCGUAGCGGGUCUGAGAGGAUGAUCCGCCACACUGGGACUGAGACAAGGCCCAGACUCCUACGGGAGGCAGCAGUGGGGAAUUUUGGACAAUGGGCGCAAGCCUGAUCCAGCCAUGCCGCGUGAGUGAAGAAGGCCUUCGGGUUGUAAAGCUCUUUCGGCUGGGAAGAAAUCGCACCCUCUAAUACAGGGUGUGGAUGACGGUACCAGCAUAAGAAGCACCGGCUAACUACGUG